AUUGAACGCCGGCGGCAUGCCUUACACAUGCAAGUCGAACGGCAGCACGGGGCAACCUGGUGGCGAGUGGCGAACGGGUGAGUAAUGCAUCGGAACGUACCUUUCAGUGGGGGAUAACGUAGCGAAAGUUACGCUAAUACCGCAUAUUCUGUGAGCAGGAAAGCAGGGGAUCGCAAGACCUUGCGCUGAUUGAGCGGCCGAUGUCAGAUUAGCUAGUUGGUGAGGUAAAGGCUCACCAAGGCGACGAUCUGUAGGGGGUCUGAGAGGAUGAGCCGCCACACUGGAACUUAGACACGGUCCAGACUCCGACGUGAGGCAGCAGUGGGGAAUUUUGGACAAUGGGGGCAACCCUGAUCCAGCCAUGCCGCGUGAGUGAAGAAGGCCUUCGGGUUGUAAAGCUCUUUCGGCCGGGAAGAAAUCGCACGGGCUAAUACCCUGUGUGGAUGACGGUACCGGAAUAAGAAGCACCGGCUAACUACGUGCCAGCCGCCGCGGUAAUAC
rnacentral:rRNA from 1 species